AUUGAACGCUGGCGGCAGGCUUAACACAUGCAAGUCGAGCGGGGAAGGGUAGCUUGCUACCUAACCUAGCGGCGGACGGGUGAGUAAUGCUUAGGAAUCUGCCUAUUAGUGGGGGACAACAUUCCGAAAGGAAUGCUAAUACCGCAUACGCCCUACGGGGGAAAGCAGGGGAUCUUCGGACCUUGCGCUAAUAGAUGAGCCUAAGUCAGAUUAGCUAGUUGGUGGGGUAAAGGCCUACCAAGGCGACGAUCUGUAGCGGGUCUGAGAGGAUGAUCCGCCACACUGGGACUGAGACACGGCCCAGACUCCUACGGGAGGCAGCAGUGGGGAAUAUUGGACAAUGGGCGCAAGCCUGAUCCAGCCAUGCCGCGUGUGUGAAGAAGGCCUUUUGGUUGUAAAGCACUUUAAGCGAGGAGGAGGCUACUGGUAUUAAUACUACCGGAUAGUGGACGUUACUCGCAGAAUAAGCACCGGCUAACUCUGUGCCAGCCGCCGCCGUAAUAC
rnacentral:rRNA from 1 species